rnacentral:lncRNA from 1 species
GUAGCCAAACAACCCAGAGAAGAGAUUGGCAUUAGAGUUAGCAGAGGAUGAAGAAAGAGACCCAGGGCUUGGGCAGUGGGGCCUUAGAGCUCAGCCUGCUUCUGAGAAGCUUUUCCAUGUAGAAACUGGGGUUUAAAUCUCAGACAUGCUGGGAUUUCACCCCAUUUACUUCCUGCUGUUCUAGUGAAUUGGGUACUGUGGGUCACUUGCUCUGAUCAAAGACCUUUUCCAUCUUUCUCUGAACAUUGAAGACCUGUUCCAACCAAGCCUAAGGAGACUAAAGUCAUGGACUCUUCCUUCCUCAAAUAAAGCCACUUCUUUCAUACACUUGCAGAGACCUGGAGUGCAGACUCCAGACCUUUGUUACAGAUGGCUCUUCUUCAUGUUUUCACUAUAACAUCUGCAGAAGAACUUAGGGACAUUUUCUAAACUCCAAAAGCAUGCAUUGGGUUUUCAAGAUUCAUGAGCUCAUAAAAUCUUAGGUUAUGUCAUGGUUGUUCACAAGCCAAUUGAAAGGGAUCCAAAAUAUAUGCCUCUAGUAACCCCAUGGCUUUUCACUAUGAGAUGUCUCCACAGCCAGAGGUCAGUAGAUGGCUAACCAACUAGCUAAGGAGGGGCAGUGUCAUGAGAUGUCUCACUCUUGGCGGUCCCCUAACCCGGUAGGUAGGCUCCAAGUUCCGAUUUUUAUUUCUGCCUGUUGACAAAAAUACUCAGCUGCCUGGAACUCAUCUGUGAAGGAUCUUGCAGGAACUUGGCAGUCACAUUAGAGCAAAGGAACGCAUCCAGAGUGAUUAGAAUGGAAAGUUAUGGCCAUAAUUGUCUAAUACACUAAUUCACGGCAGGGAUUUGAGAUCCCCGGGGGACUGAGUCACCAUUUAGCAUAUUAGGAUGGAAAAACACAAAGCUCGCCCGCCCAAAGGGAUUUG